UUUUCUGAUAGACAUAUCAGCAAAUCUAUCAGGUGUCUAUCAACUAGAAAAGUACAGUAGCAGGAGCAGGAUAUUGGGUAGAAGAGAACUUGAUAUGUAAUCUCAAAUGGCGCAGCAGGAAGCUGUUUAGUGGGAGGGUGAGAUUGCAGCUGGACUAUAAAGUGGGUUAUAGGUUCUAUGAUUGGUUAAGUAAUCUGAUGUGCUGUCUUACUGAUGUGAACUGAGAUAAACAAUAUUAUGUUACUUUGUAUAUGCAAAAACUCAGAUAAACUAAUAAAAUUUUACU